rnacentral:tRNA from 2 species
GCGCCCUUGGCCGAGCGGAUGAGGCAGCGAACUCAUAAUUCGCCUCAGAGUGGUUCAACUCCACUAGGGCGCA